CUGGUUCUCAAACCCAGGUCGACCCACUCCUCCCGCCCACUGGCCCGCCGCAGCUCCCACCAUUGGCCCGCGGCACUUGUCUGUUUCCUGGGAGAGUUCAGCUCCUCCCGGCAGGAAGAGGCUCUGGCCUCAUUGGAUCAUUUUACAGUUGGAUUCUCCCUCUCGGAUCUGGCUCUGCCUUAGUCCAACCUAGAGGGAUCAGCUUCGCCCACGCCCACUCUCACCCCGGAACCUUUCAUCUGCUAUUGAAGCCUUUUAGGCCCAUUGAGAUGUUCAUUAGAAGAACUCUGAAAACUACGGUUCUCCCCUUUAGGAAGACUGCACCACAGCUCGCCCUCUCCUGGGUUCCGGAAAACCUCAGUUCAGAAAAGCAAUAAACUAUGGGGGGCUGUUUAGAAUGUUGCAUCUCUGGAGAGCAAGUUGCAUUUUAACAAUGAUCAGAGCCUUUAAUUAAGGCGUGAAGGUCAAAUCAUUUCUGCUUCAUCCAGCCUGGUUGCAGAGUGAGCCCAUGGGACAUCCCUCUGAAAUUAUACUGCUUACAACCAUGCUGAGUCUGCAAGGACUUCAUCCAAGCCUUUCCGUCCAGGACCUCAAGCAGCUCUAAUCACAAGAAGAGAGAUUUCAGGAAAGAGAAAAUUAUUCCUAUCAUUGGCGUUUUUGAAGAACAUGAAAUGACUGAGAAAAUAAUCAUGUUAAGUAGAAAAAAAAAAGAAAUCUGUUGUAAUUUUCAAAUAAUUUUUAAAUAAAUUUGAAAAAUUAA